CAGAGAAUAGUUUAAAAAAAAUGCCAAUUUUGGGGAUUGAGGAUAAAAGGUUUUUUUCUCUGA
rnacentral:tRNA from 1 species